rnacentral:ncRNA from 1 species
ACGAUAGAGGCGCAAUAAUUAAUAGUAGACUAUGCGGGUUUGCUUAUGUGGGCAGUGUGGUUGAACGGAAUUGUUGCCGAAGUUUUGAUGUGUCACAUAAUACAUCAUUGCUGGUUUAUUGCAGAAUAUGUAAUAAACUGUCACGUUACUGUGGAGUGCUAUUCGU